ensembl:lncRNA
GAAAUUCAGGAUUUGGAAGAAUGUGAGGACGGCUGGGGUAACCCAGUCACCCCUAUCCCCACCCAAGAUGGCAACAAGAGUGUACAAUCAGAAUUCCCCAGGGGAGAACUUCACACCCCCGCUUUCUUCUCAUCGAUUCGGAAAUGAUUCAAAGUAUGAGCAAAUAUUAUGCUUCCCUGCAUUUAUUUCUGAUAAAAAAAAAAAUCACGUAUGCUAAUUUAUAUGUAAAUCCAGUAUGGCCCUGGGGCUCCUGGCAAGCUGCCAGUGGGGCUGUGGAUGGUGGAAUUUUGGCGAUUGUCUCCAGACGGAGGUUAAAAUGGAAGAGACUCAGACCUCAGGACGGAUGGAAAUGAUGGAUGUCUUGGGACCUUCCCUGUCCCUUCCUCUGGACCCCUCACUCCACCCCGCCCCCAUUUGGUUUUCAUUUCUGUGGUUGGCAUGAUGGAAGCUGUUACCUGGAGGUUGCCUGGCUCUGGGCUCAGUUUCCCCAGUGCAGUUGGGGCCCUGAUCUCACUGGGUGAGCCUCUGUUCACCCAAGUACAAGCAGGAGUGCGCGUGAACACACACACACACACACGCAUGCUGCCUCUGCUCCAUGUUAUGUAAGAGGAGUCAGUCAGGGCUGCCUCCACGUGGCCUCCUUCAUGCUCACACCCACUGCCCCGUGGGGGAGGACGGAGACCCUGAGGCCCAUGCCCCCCACUGCCCCCAUGGCUAGGAGCUGCAGAGCAAGGAGAUCCCAUAGGAUGGACUUCCUUGCAUCCUUGCAGAGCCCUGCAGGGUCCCCUUCCCCGCUCUUUGAGCCCCAGCCGAGGGUUCGCAGGCAUUUGAUCCUUCCCAGCCUGGUCCUUCUGCCCACCUCCUGUGGGUCUGUGUGGACGCCUCUGCAACUCCGGCAAGGGGAGUCCCCAAAGACCACCCUCAGGGGGAACUCAAGGGACUAGAGAUGGGGACCGACCGCAAGAGCCCCGUACUGCAGUGGGGAAGGGAACCGGAUGGGUGGGACUCCUCAGCCUUCUCCACCCCUGCCCACCGGGAGCCAACUUUCCUCUGGGGACGCAGCAGCCAGCACUGAGCUCCCAAGUGGGGUCCUGUGGGAGACGGAGCUGGGCCACCUGCCGGGGAAAGUUUCUCUGCCCACCUCAGUCCCUGAGAACGCAGGGGUCUUUAAUGAGAAAGAGGCGCAUGCCAGAUCCUCAAAGGACAGGGCGGNNGGGGCAAGCAGGUGGGCAGGGAAAGCGGCUGCUGGGAGGUGGGAGCCUGCUGGGAGGUGGGAGCUGGGACGGAGCGCUGGGCACCCCCCCACCCCCGGUGCAGCGAGGGGAGUCCAGGUUGAAGUGGAUCCCACCCACCCCAGCACAGCAGGACCACAACUCGGCAAGCCGGCCCUGACUGCAGCCCAGAGGGCUCGGCUUCCCAGAGAAAGAAACAGAACAUUAGCAUUCGACUCUUACUGCCUCUCUUCCUUCAACUUAGGAGAGCUUUCCGGAAUCACAGAGCCCUGCUUGCUCCCGCAGCCUCUUAUCUGUUUUUUAACCACCUCCCGCUGCUCUCCUCCACAAACACACCCCCAAACACACAGAAAACUAACCCGGCUGCCCAGCUCCGCUGCAGACUGAUUCAGCCCUCUCGGAGCUGGCUUUCUGACCACAAAGCGUAGUUACCUGAUUAUGCCUAGCCUGCAUUUUCCAUUUGCUCGUUGCAGAAGCUUUGCAAGUUUACUGGUAGAUAGACAUUUAAAGUUUCCUCUCGAAAUUCUUCCCAGUACCACAAGCAACGCAUUAGCUUCCCCGCCGCCCUCCGAAUCCUUAAUUCCCCGGCUUCCAUGCGUCUCCAUCCAUCGAGUGUGUGCAAGAAUGUACAGACAGCCAGGGGACCAGCACACAGCCACGUUACCAAACAGGAGCCCCAGACACGCUUUUCUUAUGUACAUACAUCCCCCGCCCAUUCCCCUAGCAGCCAGAAUCAGAUCAAUACCCUCACAGCCUGGGAGGGAGGAGAACGUCCCAGCCAUGCUGCCGGAACGCGAGCGAACGCUCUCUCCUCCACCUGCAAACCAUAUAGCGGAGCCGACUCGGAGAGCCUGCGAAUCACCCACGGCACACUGUGCAAUUCCUGGGUCGGCUGUAGGCAGAUCAAUAGCAAGCUCUUACCUUGAAAGAGAAACAGAGCAGCCAGCGCCGUGAAGAUUGCCCAAGAGAUAGAAUUGUGCAUUUUUGCCUGGAUGGUUUUCAUGAUUUUUUUUUCUUCUUUUUCUUCUUUUUUGUCAGGUUCGGUUUUCUCUUUCUUUCUUUCCUGACAGAUUGCGUUGCUCUCGAGCUGGAGGAAGGAGGUUUAAAUCCACUGUUUUGCUGAAGGACACCACAAGAAAGCCAAGGAUGGGAGAGUGUGACUUCUCAGUAAUUAUCUCUCCUCAUACUCUGGCACUGAGACACAUCGUACAAUCUGGCCCUGGACAGCCCUCCUACGAGCUGCAAUCAUUGGUUCUAAUCCAAGGAUUGACAGAGCUACCACACACACGCGCGGGCACACACGCGCGCGCACACAUACACACUCUCAGGAAUCAUUUACUGGGCAAAUCAGGCUAGCNNNNNNNNNNNNNNNNNNNNNNNNNNNNNNNNNNNNNNNNNNNNNNNNNNNNNNNNNNNNNNNNNNNNNNNNNNNNNNNNNNNNNNNNNNNNNNNNNNNACAUACACACUCUCAGGAAUCAUUUACUGGGCAAAUCAGGCUAGCUGAUUAAAGAGACAGGAGCCUGGAGAGAUGGCAUGAUAAAUGUCACUUUGGCCCUUCUAUAUUACCUUCAUUUUUUAAACUGACAGUCUCAGAGCCCCAAACAUCAAAAAAUUCCUUUCCUCUGGCAUUCCCUGGCCUCCUGAACUCAGACUCCCUUUAUACUGGAAAAAUCCCAUAGCCAGCCACUGCUUACUAGAAAUUUUAAAGGGACAUUUUCAUGCUUGGUGAAACUUGCAAAGAUGAGUCAAAUAUCAUUUGUUGGUAUUUAUUUUCCUCUCCGAUGAAAAUAUCAUUCAAUGACAGGUUUUUUGUUUUUUUUUUUUCCUGCUCUCUCUCUCUCAUCUUUCACCUUUUCCAAUCAAUCUCCUAUUUCAUUGCUUGGAAAAUAGUAAAUAACUUUUUAUUUUCUUCUCCUGUCACUCCUGUUUCAGAAUACCU